GACGAACGCUGGCGGCGUGCCUAAUACAUGCCAGUUGAGCGAUGAAGAUUGGUGCUUGCACCAAUUUGAAGAGCAGCGAACGGGUGAGUAACGCGUGGGGAAUCUGCCUUUGAGCGGGGGACAACAUUUGGAAACGAAUGCUAAUACCGCAUAACAACUUUAAACAUAAGUUUUAAGUUUGAAAGAUGCAAUUGCAUCACUCAAAGAUGAUCCCGCGUUGCAUUAGCUAGUUGGUGAGGUAAAGGCUCACCAAGGCGAUGAUACAUAGCCGACCUGAGAGGGUGAUCGGCCACAUUGGGACUGAGACACGGCCCAAACUCCUACGGGAGGCAGCAGUAGGGAAUCUUCGGCAAUGGACGAAAGUCUGACCGAGCAACGCCGCGGGAGUGAAGAAGGUUUUCGGAUCGUAAAACUCGGUUGGUAGAGAAGAACGUUGGUGAGAGUGGAAAGCUCAUCAAGUGACGGUAACUACCCAGAAAGGGACGGCUAACUACGUG
rnacentral:rRNA from 1 species